rnacentral:rRNA from 2 species
UGUACAAGGUUUCCGUAGGUGAACCUGCGGAAGGAUCAUUG